rnacentral:rRNA from 1 species
AGUGAACGCUGGCGGUAUGCCUAACACAUGCAAGUCGAACGGCAGCACAGGAGAGCUUGCUCUCUGGGUGCCAACUGGCGGACGGGUGAGGAAUACAUCGGAAUCUACUGUGGAGAGGGGGAUGACGGAGGGAAACUUACGCUAUUACCUCAUAGUCUCUGAGGAGAAGAGCUGGAGCAACUUGGCACUUUAGGAGGAGGCUGCGUCUGAUUAGCUAGUUGGUAGGGUAAAGGCCUACCAAGGCGACGAUCGGUAGCUGGUCUGAGAGGAUGAUCAGCCACACUGGGACUGAGACACGGCCCAGACUCCUACGGGAGGCAGCAGUGGGGAAUAUUGGACAAUGGGGGCAACCCUGAUCCAGCAAUGCCGCGUGUGUGAAGAAGGCCUUCGGGUUGUAAAGCGCUUUAGGCGGGGAAGAAGGUGCGGAGUUUAAGAGACACUGUACUUGACGGUACCCGCAGAAUAAGCACCGGCUAACUCUGUGCCAGCCGCCGCCGUAA